AACGAACGCUGGCGGCAUGCCUAAUACAUGCAAGUCGAACGCGAUGGGGCAACCCAUUGAGUGGCGGACGGGUGAGUAACGCGUGGGAACCUGCCCAUCGGUACGGAAUAACCUCGGGAAACUGAGGCUAAUACCGUAUGCGCCCCAUGAGGGAGACUUUGUGGGGGAAAGAUUUAUCGCCGUUGGAGGGGCCCGCGUCGGAUUAGGUAGUUGGUGAGGUAACGGCUCACCAAGCCUUCGAUCCGUAGCUGGUCUGAGAGGAUGAUCAGCCACACUGGGACUGAGACACGGCCCAGACUCCUACGGGAGGCAGCAGUAGGGAAUAUUGGACAAUGGGGGCAACCCUGAUCCAGCAAUGCCGCGUGAGUGAUGAAGGCCUUAGGGUUGUAAAGCUCUUUUGGCGGGGGACGAUGAUGACGGUACCCGCAGAAUAAGCCCCGGCUAACUUCGUGCCAGCCGCCGCAGUAAC
rnacentral:rRNA from 1 species